GUCAGCUCAUGUAAAACAAGGAGAUAAAUAGAUCUUACUUUUCCUGCAUACUGUUUAGAACCAUGACGGAUUUUUGACAUCUCUUUGAAGUGUGGAUACGUGAAGAUUAAAAGAGCAGCAGAGCAAAAAUGCCAUGAUACUUGGGAACAUCCCUGGCCACUAUCCACUGGAUGCCUUCAGCAUUCAUCCCCCAAGUUGUAAUAAUCAGAAAUGUCUCCAGAAUUUGCGAAAUGUCACCUGGGGAGCAAGAUCGCCUCUGGUUGAGAACCACUGCUCUAACAGCUCCUAGAGCACCUACC
rnacentral:lncRNA from 1 species